UACAGAGGUGGCAAGCGUUGUUCGGAAUUACUGGGCGUAAAGGGCGAGUAGGCGGCCUUCUAAGUCAGACGUGAAAUCCCCCGGCUUAACCUGGGAACUGCGUCUGAUACUGGGAGGCUCGAGUAUGGGAGAGGGAUGUAGAAUUCCAGGUGUAGCGGUGAAAUUCGUAGAUAUCGGGAGGAACACCGGUGGCGAAGGCGGCGACCUGGGUCGAUACUGACGCUGAGGUGCGAAAGCGUGGGGAGCAAACAGG
rnacentral:rRNA from 1 species